AGUGAACGCUGGCGGUAGGCCUAACACAUGCAAGUCGAACGGCAGCACAGAGGAGCUUGCUCCUUGGGUGGCGAGUGGCGGACGGGUGAGGAAUACAUCGGAAUCUACUCUGUCGUGGGGGAUAACGUAGGGAAACUUACGCUAAUACCGCAUACGACCUACGGGUGAAAGCAGGGGACCUUCGGGCCUUGCGCGAUUGAAUGAUCCGAUGUCGGAUUAGCUAGUUGGCGGGGUAAAGGCCCACCAAGGCGACGAUCCGUAGCUGGUCUGAGAGGAUGAUCAGCCACACUGGAACGGAGACACGGUCCAGACUCCUACGGGAGGCAGCAGUGGGGAAUAUUGGACAAUGGGCGCAAGCCUGAUCCAGCCAUACCGCGUGGGUGAAGAAGGCCUUCGGGUUGUAAAGCCCUUUUGUUGGGAAAGAAAUCCAGCUGGCUAAUACCCGGUUGGGAUGACGGUACCCAAAGAAUAAGCACCGGCUAACUUCGUGCCAGCCGCCGCGGUAA
rnacentral:rRNA from 1 species